rnacentral:rRNA from 1 species
UACGGAGGGGGCUAGCGUUGUUCGGAAUUACUGGGCGUAAAGCGCGCGUAGGCGGCUUUGUAAGUUAGAGGUGAAAGACCGGAGCUCAACUCCGGAACUGCCUUUAAGACUGCAUCGCUAGAAUUGUGGAGAGGUGAGUGGAAUUCCGAGUGUAGAGGUGAAAUUCGUAGAUAUUCGGAAGAACACCAGUGGCGAAGGCGACUCACUGGACACAUAUUGACGCUGAGGUGCGAAAGCGUGGGGAGCAAACAGG